rnacentral:rRNA from 1 species
CGAACGAGUUCUCGUUGAUGAUCGGUGCUUGCACUGAGAUUCAACAUGGAACGAGUGGCGGACGGGUGAGUAACACGUGGGUAACCUGCCCUUAAGUGGGGGAUAACAUUUGGAAACAGAUGCUAAUACCGCAUAGAUCCAAGAACCGCAUGGUUCUUGGCUGAAAGAUGGCGUAAGCUAUCGCUUUUGGAUGGACCCGCGGCGUAUUAGCUAGUUGGUGAGGUAAUGGCUCACCAAGGCGAUGAUACGUAGCCGAACUGAGAGGUUGAUCGGCCACAUUGGGGCUGAGACACGGCCCAAACUCCUACGGGAGGCAGCAGUAGGGAAUCUUCCACAAUGGACGCAAGUCUGAUGGAGCAACGCCGCGUGAGUGAAGAAGGCUUUCGGGUCGUAAAACUCUGUUGUUGGAGAAGAAUGGUCGGCAGAGUAACUGUUGUCGGCGUGACGGUAUCCAACCAGAAAGCCACGGCUAACUACGUGCCAGCAGCCGCGGUAAUACGUAGGUGGCAAGCGUUAUCCGGAUUUAUUGGGCGUAAAGCGAGCGCAGGCGGUUUUUUAAGUCUGAUGUGAAAGCCCUCGGCUUAACCGAGGAAGCGCAUCGGAAACUGGGAAACUUGAGUGCAGAAGAGGACAGUGGAACUCCAUGUGUAGCGGUGAAAUGCGUAGAUAUAUGGAAGAACACCAGUGGCGAAGGCGGCUGUCUGGUCUGUAACUGACGCUGAGGCUCGAAAGCAUGGGUAGCGAACAGGAUUAGAUACCCUGGUAGUCCAUGCCGUAAACGAUGAAUGCUAGGUGUUGGAGGGUUUCCGCCCUUCAGUGCCGCAGCUAACGCAUUAAG